GAGGCGAGCGGCGGUGCUGAGGCGGCGCGGUCGCUGCCGAGCGCCCCAGCAGAGACACCGCCGGCGCUGCAGGACUACAAGUUCACAUUGCUGACCAUAAUGAGGCUGUUAUGGCUACAUCGGGGAAGUCGUGCAGUGUUGCAAAACAAUAGCACACAGUACUACAGAGAAGCUGAAGAUUUGUACAGCAGCUCUAAUUUAGAUGUGCCAAAGGACUUCGGCUGUCAUCAUGUGAGACCAAGUGAUCAGUCUGUCUUUCAAAACUUGAAGUAGGUGCUUGAAGUGAGAUGAGAAUUUAGUCACUGUUCUGGGUAGUAGUGUUACUUCACAGACUGCUGAAGGAGAGCAACUUCACAUAUUUUUCAAAAUAAGUUUCUCUCUGAAUGCCAGCAGUAAAGGGGAAGGAUCUACCUGUCCUUAGCAAGUCAUCAAACCUUCUGUUUCAGGCUUUAGAAAUAACUUCUUUUGUGACAGGCACAAGACACUAUUUAGUACUAGAAACCUGUUCUGUGCGUACACAUGCGGGCUAUGUUAGUGCAUCAGCUAUUCCAGUAUUGUAAGCUUUCAUUUUUAAAAACCUUUUUUUUUUUUUUUUUUAACUGGCUUCCAAAAUAUCUCUACAGCAUGCAUCUUUUUUUCCUGGCUUCUGAGCUAUAGAUGUUACUACUGAUGUAAAUGUUGCAAUCUGGGGAAGUUUUGAUCUUUCACAGUGAGAAGAGAUGGUUUUUCUACAGGAUUGGAAGAGUGGUUUUCUGUGUAAAUAUAGUCAGUCACCAGUCUACAGAGCAAAUAUGGUUUUCAUGUUCCUGAAAUAAACCUAAGUUGAAAACACUUAAA